GACGAACGCUGGCGGCGUGCUUAACACAUGCAAGUCGAACGGUGACCCUCGGAGCUUGCUUCGGGGUGAACAGUGGCGAACGGGUGAGUAACACGUGAGUAACCUGCCCCUGACUCUGGAAUAAGCGCUGGAAACGGCGUCUAAUACCGGAUACGACACGCCUCCGCAUGGGGAGCGUGUGGAAAGUUUUUCGGUCUGGGAUGGACUCGCGGCCUAUCAGUUUGUUGGUGAGGUAAUGGCUCACGAAGGCGAUGACGGGUAGCCGGCCUGAGAGGGCGACCGGCCACACUGGGACUGAGACACGGCCCAGACUCCUACGGGAGGCAGCAGUGGGGAAUAUUGCACAAUGGGCGAAAGCCUGAUGCAGCGACGCCGCGUGAGGGAUGGCGGCCUUCGGGUUGUAAACCUCUUUCAGCAGGGAAGAAGCGAAAGUGACGGUACCUGCAGAAGAAGCACCGGCUAACUACGUGCCAGCAGCCGCCGUAAUAC
rnacentral:rRNA from 1 species